CUUCACUGCAGUUGUUCCAGGGAGCCCGAGUGUCACACAGCAACUGGAGAGACUCUGAUCCGUGAAGAUGAACAUUCUGAGUUGUCUCCUCUUGACGUGUCUGUGGUGCGUCGUCACGUCGUACUCACGAUAUUGCCUCAUAUCGGGGAUGAGAGUGAAAGUUAACGGUAACCAAUGCGACGUGAUGAACCGUGGGAUCGGACAUCAGAUGACGUAUGAGGCCAAGGACUGCGGGGUGACGCUCACGUGUAUUGACGGUGGAAUCAACGCGUGUAUUUCACAGACAUUGAUGUGUACGGUUAUCACACUUGACUGCAAUACACUGGUGAGAGAGACUACUUCCAUAGUGGAUCGACUACUAUGCAAGGAUUGAGCGGCCAAGACAGAUAGACAUGAGGCACCCAGCUGGUUGCAAGGAUUGAGCGCCAAGUCUUCAGAUAGACAUGAGGCACCCAGCUGGUUGGUCCUGUGGUCAUGAUGCUGAUACUUCAAAUAAACUUACGUUUAUGGCGA